AAAAUAUUGAGCCAUGGAAGUCUUCAUUUGAAAGGAAAAUUUAGUGAUAAUUUAUUUUACAUGGCAUUUGCAUACUUAGAUGAUAUUGAGCCUCCUGCAAGGCAAAAUUACGUAACAGACCUCUUAACAGAUUAAGCGCCGCUAAGAGAGCAGCCAUUGAAGUUUAAUUUAUGACGUCAUAUCGUCGGUUCCGGUCUAUUUCAUCGACAGCACUGUAAACAGGACAAAUCCCUGGCACGAACAGUUAAAUUUGGAGCCGUAUAGAUUUGAGCCCGUUCUUUCGCAAGAAGAAAUUAAGAAAAGAAGACGUUCAGUCGAGUCGCAGACCAGGCAGACGAUGACUUGGUUGGGUCAGGAAUUUUGAGGAAAAUACACCUUUUUUCACAUCCCCCCUUUGCAUUCGUGGAAUUAACUGAUUGACAGGAAGGCAUCAACCUAUCUAUUCGUAAAAUCUACCACAUGCACAUCUUUGAUGAUCUUAGAAUCUCAUCAAAACCGGAACAGACUGUGACGUCAAAAUUAUUGAUUUUUGUGGUCUUGAAUACAAAAGAGUUCCACAUCAUGACAGCCUCUGUCAGAAUUUCAUUUUUCAACGUUUUCAGAUUAGUACUGAAGUUUAUCUAGGCCGUAUAUUGAUCAGCAGUAUAGUAUCAUCACAUGUACUAUACACGUAUCAACACUUCGCCGCGAGUUACGUCCCUUUGCGGGGUCAACCAAAGGUCAAUCGGUGAAAAACCAAGUUUUCCUUCUUUACCUUAUCAAUGUAAGAUGUUAUUACUUUGAAUUUUAGCCAAUUACCAAGUUUUCAUACAAGUUAAUGGGUUGCCCCAAUCUGGGGCAUAUUGUAGUUGACUGCAAUUGAUGGAAAAAUAACAGAUAUCAAAGCUACAGAGAGGAAAAUUACAAAGGCCAAUGUAGGGAAAUACGAUUUUUAUCCGGGAGAUGGCGGACAAGGGACGUAACUUUCGCGAAGUGUUGAUAUCGUCAUAACCAGUUUGAUAUAAUAGUACAUGUAUUCAUAACAUUUUCAUGAAAUUGUUUCUUCAAAAAAAUAUACAAAAUGUCUGUGAAAAAUAAAGAAAAUCUAUCACUUAAUUGAUAAAGAAAUCAAUAAAGCAGUUAUUGCCCUUGGAUUCAAUAUUUCGAAUAAAGUGUCACUCACUGAUCCUCGUGGC